GACAGAGGGUGCGAACGUUGUUCGGAAUUACUGGGCGUAAAGGGCUCGUAGGCGGCCAACUAAGUCGGAUGUGAAAUCCCCAGGCUUAACCUGGGAACUGCAUCCGAUACUGGAUGGCUUGAAUCCGGGAGAGGGAUGCGGAAUUCCAGGUGUAGCGGUGAAAUGCGUAGAUAUCUGGAGGAACACCGGUGGCGAAGGCGGCAUCCUGGACCGGCAUUGACGCUGAGGAGCGAAGGCCAGGGGAGCAAACGGG
rnacentral:rRNA from 1 species